AUUGAACGCUGGCGGCAUGCCUUACACAUGCAAGUCGAACGGUAGCGGGCCUUCGGGUGCCGACGAGUGGCGAACGGGUGAGUAAUGUAUCGGAACGUGCCUAGUAGUGGGGGAUAACUACUCGAAAGAGUGGCUAAUACCGCAUGAGAUCUACGGAUGAAAGCAGGGGAUCGCAAGACCUUGUGCUACUAGAGCGGCCGAUGGCAGAUGAGGUAGUUGGUGGGAUAAAAGCUUACCAAGCCGACGAUCUGUAGCUGGUCUGAGAGGACGAUCAGCCACACUGGGACUGAGACACGGCCCAGACUCCUACGGGAGGCAGCAGUGGGGAAUUUUGGACAAUGGGCGAAAGCCUGAUCCAGCAAUGCCGCGUGCAGGAUGAAGGCCUUCGGGUUGUAGACUGCUUUUGUACGGAACGAAAAGCCCCGGGUUAAUACCCUGGGGUCAUGACGGUACCGUAAGAAUAAGCACCGGCUAACUACGUGCCAGCCGCCGCUGUAACAC
rnacentral:rRNA from 1 species